UGAGGCAGUUUGGUCAGCGAGUGUA
rnacentral:piRNA from 1 species